UAGGGAAUCUUCCGCAAUGGACGAAAGUCUGACGGAGCAACGCCGCGUGAGUGAAGAAGGAUUUCGGUUCGUAAAACUCUGUUGUUAGGGAAGAAAAAAUGUAUAGUAACUAUAUACAAAAGAGACGGUACCUAACCAGAAAGCCACGGCUAACUACGUGCCAGCAGCCGCGGUAAUACGUAGGUGGCAAGCGUUGUCCGGAAUUAUUGGGCGUAAAGCGCGCGCAGGUGGUUUAGAAAGUCUGAUGUGAAAGCCCACGGCUCAACCGUGGAGGGUCAUUUGAAACUAAUAAACUUGAGUGCAGGAGAGAAAAGUGGAAUUCCUAGUGUAGCGGUGAAAUGCGUAGAGAUUAGGAGGAACACCGGUGGCGAAAGCGGCUUUUUGGCCUGCAACUGACACUGAGGCGCGAAAGAGUGGGGAGCAAACAGG
rnacentral:rRNA from 1 species